AUGCAGGCCGGACCAUACACCCUCAAGUACAGAGGAUCCAUGUGGGGUUACAAGAGAUUCUACAGAAGGACACAGUUAGAAGCAUCAGAUUUUUUAAAGGAUGAUUGCCUAGUAAUGAACUGCACAGUAGGUGUCGUCAAGAACCGUCUCGAAACACCAAAGAAUAUCCAGAUUAAUGUUCCCCCAUCGGAUAUUGGCCGUUGCUUCAAGGAGCUCUUUGAACUCCACAUUGGCUGUGACAUAACUUUUGAAGUAGGUGAUGAGAAAGUCCAGGCACAUAAAUGGAUUCUUGCCGCUCGCUCCCCGGUGUUCAAAGCCCAAUUCUUUGGACCUAUUGGUAAACCUGACAUGGACAGAGUUGUUGUGGAGGAUGUUGAACCUAUCGUCUUCAAGGCAAUGGUCAAUUUCAUAUAUUCUGAUGAGCUUCCUAGCAUUCAUGAAGUAGCUGGAUCUUUCUCAAUGUGGACAUCUACUGUGGUAACACAACAUCUGUUGGCAGCAGCUAAUAGAUAUGGGUUGGACCGGCUACGAAUCCUAUGUGAGGCAAAGUUAUGUGAUGAACUCACUUCUGAAACAGUAGCGACAACCUUAGCCCUAGCUGAACAGCACCACUGUGCUCAGCUCAAGUCUGCCUGUCUAAAAUUCACUGCUGUUCGGCAAAAUCUGGGAGCUGUGAUGGAGACUGAAGGGUUUAAUUACCUGGAGGAGACUUGCCCAUCCUUGCUGUCUGAUUUGUUAGCAACCGUCGCAGUAGUGGAUGAUGAUCCUGCAUCUGUUAACCGGAAAAGGGGAGUUUGUAUCAAUGAAGAUGUGAAUCCCGUUGAAAGCGUUGAGGCUAGUGACAGGCGCACCCGCAGGAGGGUGUAG
rnacentral:rRNA from 1 species